CAGUAGCCGCGGUAAUACGGAGGGGGCUAGCGUUGUUCGAAAUUACUGGACGUAAAGCGCACGUAGGCGGCUGUGUAAGUCAGAGGUGAAAGCCCGGGGCUCAACCCCGGAAUAGCCUUUGAGACUGCAUAGCUUGAACACGGGAAAGGUGAGUGGAAUUCCGAGUGUAGAGGUGAAAUUCGUGGAUAUUCGGAAGAACACCAGUGGCGAAGGCGGCUCACUGGACCGUUGUUGACGCUGAGGUGCGAAAGCGUGGGGAGCAAACAGGAUUAGAUACCCCCGUAGUCCCUGUCUCUUAUAC
rnacentral:rRNA from 1 species